rnacentral:rRNA from 1 species
GCGCUUACCACUUUGUGGUUCAUGACUGGGGUGAAGUCGUAACAAGGUAGCGCUAGGGGAACCUGGCGCUGGAUCACCUCCUUA